AUUGAACGCUGGCGGCGUGCUUAACACAUGCAAGUCGAUCGGUAACAGGUGUAGCAAUACAUGCUGACGAGAGGCGGACGGGUGAGGAACGCUUGGGAAUCUGCCUAUCAGCGGGGGACAACCCGGGGAAACCCGGGCUAAUACCGCAUACGCUCUACGGAGGAAAGCCGAGGACCGCAAGGCCUGGCACUGAUAGAUGAGCCCAAGUCGGAUUAGCUAGUUGGCGGGGUAACGGCCCACCAAGGCGACGAUCCGUAGCUGGUCUGAGAGGACGAUCAGCCACACCGGAACUGAGACACGGUCCGGACUCCUACGGGAGGCAGCAGUGGGGAAUAUUGGACAAUGGGCGAAAGCCUGAUCCAGCGACGCCGCGUGGGUGAAGAAGGCCUGCGGGUUGUAAAGCCCUUUCGGUAGGGACGAAAGCUCUCGACCUAACACGUCGGGAGGUUGACUUAACCUACAAAAGAAGCACCGGCUAACUCUGUGCCAGCCGCCGCCGUAAUAC
rnacentral:rRNA from 1 species